UACGGAGGAUGCGGGCGUUAUCCGGAUUCAUUGGGUUUAAAGGGUGCGCAGGCGGCCGUGCAAGUCAGCGGUGAAAGCCCGGGGCCCAACCCCGGGAGUGCCGUUGAUACUGUACGGCUGGAAUGCGGUCGAGGCGAGCGGAACGUGGCGUGUAGCGGUGAAAUGCGUAGAUAUGCCACAGAACGCCGAUAGCGAAGGCAGCUCGCCAGGCCUGCAUUGACGCUCGGGCGCGAAAGCGUGGGGAUCGAAC
rnacentral:rRNA from 1 species